rnacentral:rRNA from 1 species
GAUGGACGCUGGCGGCGUGCCUAAUACAUGCAAGUCGAGCGAACAGACGAGGAGCUUGCUCCUCUGACGUUAGCGGCGGACGGGUGAGUAACACGUGGAUAACCUACCUAUAAGACUGGGAUAACUUCGGGAAACCGGAGCUAAUACCGGAUAAUAUAUUGAACCGCAUGGUUCAAUAGUUAAAGACGGUUUUGCUGUCACUUAUAGAUGGAUCCGCGCCGCAUUAGCUAGUUGGUAAGGUAACGGCUUACCAAGGCAACGAUGCGUAGCCGACCGGAGAGGGUGAUCGGCCCACCUGGAACGGAGACACGGACAAGACUCCGAGGGGGGGCAGAAGUGGGGAAUAUGCGGCAAGGGGCGAAAGCCGGAAGGAGAACGGCCGCGGGAGUGAAGAAGGCUUUGGGUUUGAAAAACUCUUUUAUAGGGAAAGAAAAAGUGGGAAGUAACAUUUACCUGUUUUGAGGGUACCAAAAGAAAAAGCAACGGCUAACUACGUG